GAAAACCUACGGUAGCUUACAUAGCCACUGGCGGCAAAAUAGCUGAAUGAACUGGUAAAAUUCUGGUUUAUCAGACAUUGAAGACGGUAGUUCGUGGUCUAGUCAUCUUGAAAUAAUAACUUAAGAUGCCAUUACAUUUCUGGUAUUCUUUUAUCUGUUUUAUAGGAAUUCGCCAUACUUCAAGUCCAACGAAACAUUAACAUACUCGUAAGCUAUCACAUAAGUUAGAUAAAAAAAAUAUUGGAAAUCGCUUUAGUUUUUGGUGCUUUGUUAGCAUUCCACCUGAGCAAUCAUAAAUUGUUCAUCCUUCCCAAAGCUUUCAGAUGUCAGCCUGUCUAUGAAGCUAUACGAUAUGGAUUAUGUAACGCACGGUUGCAGGAUUCGAACGCUGCAUCUUUUAUAAAUCGUAUUGUUGUGUUGAUAUUUAGGCGCAGGCAACCAAACUCCCUACCAUCUUAAAGAAAAGAACACAUUGGAAAAUAUAGUUCCAGGGAUACAAAAACAAAACGAGAUGACCUUGGCUUGAAUAACUUUGAUCACGGGUCUGCUCGAUCAGGACUAGAACUAAGCAACGACAUCUUUUUAAAGGCACAUCUUGCUUUAUGUGAGCAGAGAGUUAAUUUGAAAUUCCUAGCAAAAUGUUCAGUAGUUUAAACUAUAGCAGCAACUUGGCUCUUCAUUCAUAUUGAUUACAUUAGUCAAUAUCUCUAACUCCAUCAUACAAAUCCCGGUGGCCGAAAUCGAAAUGCAAUUCCAGUUCCUGAUUGGAGCAAUAUACCUUCGUUAAUUUCUUUGGAGAAGGCAUGAACAUCACAAUUUCCCUCUGCCCUCAUCUAAAAUAAAAUGAUUUCGCGGUGAAGCAAAAACAAAUCCAAUAGCUUUAUUUGUAAACAAGAAGACUAAAUCACAUUUUGUCCAAAAAAUAAUUAUGUAACACAGUCUCUGAAUCCAAUAAAAACUCGGUUUUGAGUAUCUAAUAAAGCUUCAAAGCUGAUAACUGCAUGUUGUGUCUACAUUGUAUUUGGGGAAAGUUAAUACUCCCUGCACUGACAAGGGUAGCAUUUCCUGCGCAUGGAAUAAAA
rnacentral:lncRNA from 1 species